CUACCUGUGCAUUCUACAUUGAAAAAACAUUGAUCCUGUCUGAUCUUGAAAGCAAAGCAAGGCAAGGCCUGAUUAAUAUUUGGAUGGGAGGCCAUCUGUAAACACCAAGUCUGGUAGA
rnacentral:rRNA from 1 species